rnacentral:rRNA from 1 species
AACCUGGUUGAUCCUGCCAGUAGUCAUAUGCUUGUCUCAAAGACUAAGCCAUGCACGUCUAAGUACAAACUAAAUGAUGGUGAAACUGCAAAUGGCUCAUUACAACGGUUAUGAUGUACCCGGGAGUUCCGAUGGAUAUUUCCAGUAACACUAGAACUAAUACAUGCUCCUGCGUUUAUUAGUUUCGCACAGUCCGUCGCUGAGUCAUGGUAAACAGUUGAUCGACUCGACGUCCCGGAACAGUUUCCGCCCCAUCAGCUUCGAUGGUUGGGUAUUGGCCUACCAUUGCAACAACGGGUAACGAGGAAUUAGGGUUUGAUUUCGGAGAGGGAGCCUGAGAAACGGCUACCACAUCUACGGAUGGCAGCAGGCGCGCAAAUUACCCAAUGCAGACACUGUGAGGUAGUGACGAGAAAUAAUAAAGCGGGACUUCUGUUUCGCUAUUAUAAUGAGGAAUAACCAAAGGUCAUUCCGAUUAGCAACUGAUGGGAAAGUCUGGUGCCAGCAGCCGCGGUAAUACCAGCGUCAGUAACAUAUAUUAAAAUUGUUGCAGUUAAAACGUCCGUAGUCUGUACGUCGUCCCAAACUCACUGCAGUCUUCCGUUUCCUUCAUUGAAUGCGGUAGUUUCUGCAGUCACUCCCUGAUCCAAUAGGUG